rnacentral:misc_RNA from 1 species
AAGUCGUAACAAGGUUUCCGUAGGUGAACCUGCGGAAGGAUCAUUACAGUAUAUUGAAUUCACAUUCAUAUACCCACUCUGCGUACCUUAUAACUGUUGCUUCCAUGGGACUUGGCUCUGCCACGUCGGCCUCCGGGCUGGUGAGCUCCCAUGGGAGGAAAACAAUACUCCUUUUUGUCAGUGAAGUCUGUAUGAAUAGUUUAUAAUAAACGUUAAAACUUUCAACAACGGAUCUCUUGGUUCUC